AAAUAUUUCAUCUUUUGCUAUCCUUAGUUAAAAAUUGUACAUUGACCCCCCUAGUAAAAAUUAUACCAUAGAGAAACUGAGAUCAUAGAGUUUCAUACAUAAUGCAGAAUUUUUCAAUGCCCCUUACAUAAUAUUUCCAAUAACCCUUCAAUAUGUUUGUUGCCAUAAGGUGGAAGGAGGAUACAGCAAGAAGAAAAACAAGAAAGAUGACUGUCCUUUCUGACCUGGAGAAACUGAAGGAGACAGAGUGAACUAUGAGAGGUCGUUUCUCAUACUUCUGCUACCUCAAAAUGAAAGUGCAAGUUUUGACCAAUGGGGAGCAGCAGAUGGCUCUAGGCGGGAAUGAGAAUGGACUCCUGGGCACCAAAUGUCUACAUCAAAGGAAUUUUGGACAAAGAAUAGAGAAGAUAGAGGAACUAUAAAUCAAUGGUGAAGAUAAAACAUGCUGGUUGGAGGCACAAGGAGGCACUGGUAGAGGCCAAAGACAUGUGAUGUCCCUUGUUAUGCAAUUCCAAGUACUGUGCAUUCAGUGCCUUCUAGUGGCUCUUUUAAUUCAGAAUUUCCUCGUUUUCUAAAGUUAAGUCUUCACUGAGCAUCACUCCUUAUUCACACUCCCUUGAAAGCUUAUACAGCCGUGAACAACUCCCUUUGACAAGUAACAUGGUGUCAAUUCUUUGUCUUGUGAUAACAACUAUAAAAGGCAGAUUCUGAAUGUGUGCUUUUUGAAGUUUAUCCUUUUUCCAUUCUUUAUGCUGUUGACACUUCAUGAUUCUCAAAGCAUAGGGUUUUUUUUAGCCUUGUAAAGCAAAUUAAAUGAUCCCUAAGUACAUACUGACAGAAAUUUACCACUGAUGAAGACAUGGAAAUAUCUACAAAUUCAGGUGCCAGCAUAUUGAUUCACAAAAUUAUAAGACAGUAUAAAAGUGAAACAAAGUUCAUCGUUCUGAUCUCAGAAGCAUUUUGCCUCACUCAUCAUUUUAGAUAUCACAGUAAAGUAGCUCUUUCUGGCAAUGUGGUUAUCACCUUUUCAUAUUAGGUUGAUGGGCUUCUAUCCACUUCCAAAAUAUGAAAUGGCCUUUUUACUAAAUGUACUCUUAUCUAUGCUGUUGUUCAUUUCCCCUCUUGUUUCCUGUUAAAUGUGAUAUUUCUCAGUUAACUUUUCAGACUUGCAUUUUAAAUGACAUUGUACUGUCUAUUCGACAUCAGCACACUUCAGCUCUGCUAAAAUGAGAGCAGUGAAAUUUAGUAUUAUUUUCCUUGUACAUGUGUCAUCCCUAGCAUCUGAAAGAGUUCAACAUGUUAUGAGCAUUUGUAACUGUCCAAUACUGACAAAGAGAUUAAAUAUAAUUCCUUAAAAAAA